rnacentral:rRNA from 1 species
AUGAACGCUAGCGACAGGCCUAACACAUGCAAGUCGAGGGGCAGCACAAGGAGCAAUCUGAGGUGGCGACCGGCGCACGGGUGAGUAACGCGUAUGCAACCUGCCUGUAAGCGGGGAAUAACCCGUUGAAAGACGGACUAAUACCGCAUAAUACUAAAUUACUGCAUGGUAAUUUAUUUAAACAUUUAUGGCUUACAGAUGGGCAUGCGCAUGAUUAGCUAGUUGGAGAGGUAACGGCUCCCCAAGGCAACGAUCAUUAGGGGUUCUGAGAGGAAGGUCCCCCACACUGGUACUGAGACACGGACCAGACUCCUACGGGAGGCAGCAGUGAGGAAUAUUGGUCAAUGGACGAGAGUCUGAACCAGCCAAGUCGCGUGCAGGAAGAAUGUCCUAAUGGAUUGUAAACUGCUUUUGCAGGGGAAUAAAGUGCAUCACGUGUGAUGUUUUGUAUGUACUCUGCGAAUAAGGAUCGGCUAACUCCGUGCCAGCAGCGGC